CUACUACUAGUAGUACUAGUAGUACUUGUAUUAUUACGAGUAGUACUAGUAGUACUUGUACUACUACGAGUAGUUCAAGUACUACUAAUGGUAGU
rnacentral:tRNA from 1 species